GGUUAAGCGACUAAGCGUACACGGUGGAUGCCCUGGCAGUCAGAGGCGAUGAAGGACGUGCUAAUCUGCGAUAAGCGUCGGUAAGGUGAUAUGAACCGUUAUAACCGGCGAUUUCCGAAUGGGGAAACCCAGUGUGAUUCGUCACACUAUCAUUAACUGAAUCCAUAGGUUAAUGAGGCGAACCGGGGGAACUGAAACAUCUAAGUACCCCGAGGAAAAGAAAUCAACCGAGAUUCCCCCAGUAGCGGCGAGCGAACGGGGAGGAGCCCAGAGCCUGAAUCAGUGUGUGUGUUAGUGGAAGCGUCUGGAAAGGCGCGCGAUACAGGGUGACAGCCCCGUACACAAAAAUGCACAUACUGUGAGCUCGAUGAGUAGGGCGGGACACGUGGUAUCCUGUCUGAAUAUGGGGGGACCAUCCUCCAAGGCUAAAUACUCCUGACUGACCGAUAGUGAACCAGUACCGUGAGGGAAAGGCGAAAAGAACCCCGGCGAGGGGAGUGAAAAAGAACCUGAAACCGUGUACGUACAAGCAGUGGGAGCACGCUUCGGCGUGUGACUGCGUACCUUUUGUAUAAUGGGUCAGCGACUUAUAUUCUGUAGCAAGGUUAACCGAAUAGGGGAGCCGAAGGGAAACCGAGUCUUAACUGGGCGUUAAGUUGCAGGGUAUAGACCCGAAACCCGGUGAUCUAGCCAUGGGCAGGUUGAAGGUUGGGUAACACUAACUGGAGGACCGAACCGACUAAUGUUGAAAAAUUAGCGGAUGACUUGUGGCUGGGGGUGAAAGGCCAAUCAAACCGGGAGAUAGCUGGUUCUCCCCGAAAGCUAUUUAGGUAGCGCCUCGUGAAUUCAUCUCCGGGGGUAGAGCACUGUUUCGGCAAGGGGGUCAUCCCGACUUACCAACCCGAUGCAAACUGCGAAUACCGGAGAAUGUUAUCACGGGAGACACACGGCGGGUGCUAACGUCCGUCGUGAAGAGGGAAACAACCCAGACCGCCAGCUAAGGUCCCAAAGUCAUGGUUAAGUGGGAAACGAUGUGGGAAGGCCCAGACAGCCAGGAUGUUGGCUUAGAAGCAGCCAUCAUUUAAAGAAAGCGUAAUAGCUCACUGGUCGAGUCGGCCUGCGCGGAAGAUGUAACGGGGCUAAACCAUGCACCGAAGCUGCGGCAGCGACACUAUGUGUUGUUGGGUAGGGGAGCGUUCUGUAAGCCUGUGAAGGUGUACUGUGAGGUAUGCUGGAGGUAUCAGAAGUGCGAAUGCUGACAUAAGUAACGAUAAAGCGGGUGAAAAGCCCGCUCGCCGGAAGACCAAGGGUUCCUGUCCAACGUUAAUCGGGGCAGGGUGAGUCGACCCCUAAGGCGAGGCCGAAAGGCGUAGUCGAUGGGAAACAGGUUAAUAUUCCUGUACUUGGUGUUACUGCGAAGGGGGGACGGAGAAGGCUAUGUUGGCCGGGCGACGGUUGUCCCGGUUUAAGCGUGUAGGCUGGUUUUCCAGGCAAAUCCGGAAAAUCAAGGCUGAGGCGUGAUGACGAGGCACUACGGUGCUGAAGCAACAAAUGCCCUGCUUCCAGGAAAAGCCUCUAAGCAUCAGGUAACAUCAAAUCGUACCCCAAACCGACACAGGUGGUCAGGUAGAGAAUACCAAGGCGCUUGAGAGAACUCGGGUGAAGGAACUAGGCAAAAUGGUGCCGUAACUUCGGGAGAAGGCACGCUGAUAUGUAGGUGAAGNNGCGAAGCUCUUGAUCGAAGCCCCGGUAAACGGCGGCCGUAACUAUAACGGUCCUAAGGUAGCGAAAUUCCUUGUCGGGUAAGUUCCGACCUGCACGAAUGGCGUAAUGAUGGCCAGGCUGUCUCCACCCGAGACUCAGUGAAAUUGAACUCGCUGUGAAGAUGCAGUGUACCCGCGGCAAGACGGAAAGACCCCGUGAACCUUUACUAUAGCUUGACACUGAACAUUGAGCCUUGAUGUGUAGGAUAGGUGGGAGGCUUUGAAGUGUGGACGCCAGUCUGCAUGGAGCCGACCUUGAAAUACCACCCUUUAAUGUUUGAUGUUCUAACGUUGGCCCGUUAUCCGGGUUGCGGACAGUGUCUGGUGGGUAGUUUGACUGGGGCGGUCUCCUCCUAAAGAGUAACGGAGGAGCACGAAGGUUGGCUAAUCCUGGUCGGACAUCAGGAGGUUAGUGCAAUGGCAUAAGCCAGCUUGACUGCGAGCGUGACGGCGCGAGCAGGUGCGAAAGCAGGUCAUAGUGAUCCGGUGGUUCUGAAUGGAAGGGCCAUCGCUCAACGGAUAAAAGGUACUCCGGGGAUAACAGGCUGAUACCGCCCAAGAGUUCAUAUCGACGGCGGUGUUUGGCACCUCGAUGUCGGCUCAUCACAUCCUGGGGCUGAAGUAGGUCCCAAGGGUAUGGCUGUUCGCCAUUUAAAGUGGUACGCGAGCUGGGUUUAGAACGUCGUGAGACAGUUCGGUCCCUAUCUGCCGUGGGCGCUGGAGAACUGAGGGGGGCUGCUCCUAGUACGAGAGGACCGGAGUGGACGCAUCACUGGUGUUCGGGUUGUCAUGCCAAUGGCACUGCCCGGUAGCUAAAUGCGGAAGAGAUAAGUGCUGAAAGCAUCUAAGCACGAAACUUGCCCCGAGAUGAGAUCUCCCUGACUCCCUGAUAGUCCUGAAGGAACGUUGAAGACGACGACGUUGAUAGGCCGG
rnacentral:rRNA from 1 species